UACGUAGGGUGCGAGCGUUUAAUCGGAAUACUGGGCGUAAAGCGUGCGCAGGCGGUUCGUUGUGUCCGUCGUGAAAGCCCCGGGCUUAACCUGGGAACUGCGAUGGAAACUAGCGAGCUGGAGUGUGGCAGGAGGGGGUGGGAAUUCCGCGUGUAGCAGUGAAAUGCGUAGAGAUGCGGAGGAACACCGAUGGCGAAGGCAGCCCCCUGGGCUAACACUGACGCUCAGGCACGAAAGCGUGGGGAGCAAACAGG
rnacentral:rRNA from 1 species